rnacentral:rRNA from 1 species
CGUAGUUGGAGUUCAGAGUGAGCUCAGCCGGUCGGCCUUAUGGGUCAGAACUGGUUGACUCUCUCUUGUUUGUGGAUCCCUUCGGAGUUAACUCUUCGGAUGUGGAGUCCACAUCGUUUACCUUGAAAAAAUUAGAGUGUUCAAAGCAGGCGUUUGCUUGAAUAUAUUAGCAUGGAAUAAUGGAAUAGGACGCUGGUUCUAUUUUGUUGGUUUUGAGAACCAGAGUAAUGA